GGACGCAAGUCUGAACCAGCCACGUCGCGUGAAGGAAGACGGCCCUACGGGUUGUAAACUUCUUUUGUAAGGGAAUAAAGUGCAGUACGUGUACUGUUUUGCAUGUACCUUACGAAUAAGGAUCGGCUAACUCCGUGCCAGCAGCCGCGGUAAUACGGAGGAUCCGAGCGUUAUCCGGAUUUAUUGGGUUUAAAGGGUGCGCAGGCGGGAGAUUAAGUCGGCGGUGAAAUUUUGCAGCUCAACUGUAAAAGUGCCUUCGAAACUGGUUUUCUUGAGUGUGGAUGAAGUAGGCGGAAUUUGUGGUGUAGCGGUGAAAUGCAUAGAUAUCACGAGGAACUCCGAUUGCGCAGGCAGCUUACUAAACCAUAACUGACGCUCAGGCACGAAGGCGUGGGGAUCAAACAGGAUUAGAUACCCUGGUAGUCCACGCAGUAAACGAUGAUUACUAGCUGUUUGCGAUACAAUGUAAGCGGCUGAGCGAAAGCGUUAAGUAAUCCACCUGGGGAGUACGUUCGCAAGAAU
rnacentral:rRNA from 1 species